GGUGGAGAGUUCCAAAGGGAUCGCAUUGAUCCAAUGUUUGUCUUGUCUUAUCAAUGAUAUGUUGGAGUUGAUUCUCGAUCAAUUAUUGGAUCGUGCGAUCCCUUAGGAAUCUUCCAU
rfam:Cucumis sativus cultivar 9930 chromosome 3, whole genome shotgun sequence.